AAGGGGUAUAAAUUUCGCCCGUCUUGGAGUGUUCAAGGGUAAUGAAGGAACGGAGAGCACAGUACACGGCUCGAUCUCCCUAACUCUUCUUACUGUCCUCUAUCCCUCCCUCAACUUCUCCCACUUCUCCCGCUGCCCUUCCUCCCCCUCUCGCUGUUCUGAGCUAGGAAUGGUUGGAAUCUCUAAUCUCUAUUGCUUCCUAUUUCUCAUCUCUCCAGAGGCACUUGCUCUGUCACUCUUGCCCCCAACUCUUUGCCUUGCACGAUCGACCGAUUAUCCAUGAUACAGAUAAUUUGGAGAGGAAUGAGCCGAAGGAGGUGACAUCGAAGGCCGUGAGAGACGACGAGGACACCGCAGCAGUCAUGCAGCCGAUUGUCAAGCUUGAGGAGGACGAAGAAGUUCUUCUCAAUAUGAAGGCGAAGCUUUAUCGGCUCGAUAAAGAGGGAAAUCAGUGGAAAGAGAGGGUGUCGGGAACAUGAAGCUCCUAAAGCUUUUUAUUUCGUCUGUAUUUGUUAAACCUAGAGCACGUUAUGGCUAGUUUUUCAGGCGAAAAGUCAUGAAAGAGAAAAAAGAUGGAGGUGGAGGAGCUAAUUACUUGAUGAAUCAUAAUUACUUGAUGAAUCAUGAAUUUUGUUGCAUGUUUGAUGAUUGAUUAUAAUAAGUUGUUCAAGUUAUCAAUAUAGAAUUUGUAUUAUUUUGGCUUAAUAA